AAAAAAGCAGGGGCUUGUUGCCUUUGUGGACAGGUCUCUCGUAAACUUCAGGGAAAUUAGUUGCAUUAUUAUUGGGUGAACCUCUGGAGUUUUUUGUGAUGGAAGGCUCAGUAAAUAAUGGCACAUUG
rnacentral:snoRNA from 11 species